UACGAAGGGGGCUAGCGUUGUUCGGAAUUACUGGGCGUAAAGCGCACGUAGGCGGAUAUUUAAGUCAGGGGUGAAAUCCCGGGGCUCAACCCCGGAACUGCCUUUGAUACUGGGUAUCUCGAGUCCGAGAGAGGUGAGUGGAAUUCCGAGUGUAGAGGUGAAAUGCGUAGAUAUCUGGAGGAACACCGGUGGCGAAGGCGGCAUCCUGGACCAAUACUGACGCUGAGGAGCGAAAGCCAGGGGAGCAAACGGG
rnacentral:rRNA from 1 species